rnacentral:rRNA from 1 species
GAUGAACGCUGGCGGCGUGCCUAAUACAUGCAAGUCGAGCGAACGGACGAGAAGCUUGCUUCUCUGAUGUUAGCGGCGGACGGGUGAGUAACACGUGGAUAACCUACCUAUAAGACUGGGAUAACUUCGGGAAACCGGAGCUAAUACCGGAUAAUAUUUUGAACCGCAUGGUUCAAAAGUGAAAGACGGUCUUGCUGUCACUUAUAGAUGGAUCCGCGCUGCAUUAGCUAGUUGGUAAGGUAACGGCUUACCAAGGCAACGAUGCAUAGCCGACCUGAGAGGGUGAGCGGCGGCACUGGAACGGAGACACGGUCGAGGGUGCUACGGGAGGCGGCAGUAGGGAAUCGUCCGCAAGGGGCGAAAGCCUGACGGAGCAACGCCGCGUGAGUGAUGAAGGUCUUCGGAUCGUAAAACUCUGUUAUUAGGGAAGAACAUAUGUGUAAGUAACUGUGCACAUCUUGACGGUACCUAAUCAGAAAGCCACGGCUAACUACGUG